rnacentral:tRNA from 1 species
GCGGCCAUAGCUCAAUUGGAUUAGAGCAUCUGACUACGGAUCAGAAGGUUAGGGGUUCGAGACCCUUUGGCCGUA